rnacentral:rRNA from 1 species
CCUACGGGAGGCAGCAGUGAGGAAUAUUGGUCAAUGGCCGCAAGUCUGAACCAGCCAAGCCGCGUGCAGGACGACGGUUCUAUGCGUUGUAAACUGCUUUUGUCCGAGGGUAAAUUCCGAUACGUGAAUCGGACCGAAAGUAUCUUACGAAUAAGGAUCGGCUAACUCCGUGCCAGCAGCCGCGGUAAUACGGAGGAGUCAAGCGUUAUCCGGAUUUAUUGGGGUUAAAGGGUGCGUAGUCGGUACGUUAAGGUAGGGGUGAAAUCCCGGGGCUCAACCCCGGCACUGCCUUUGAUACUGUCUGGCUAGAGUGUAGGAGAGGUAGGCGGAAUGUAUAGUGUAGCGGUGAAAUGCAUAGAGAUCAUGCAGAACACCGAUUGCGAAGGCAGCUUACCGGACUACGACUGACGUUGAGGCACGAAAGCGUGGGGAGCAAACAGGAUUAGAUACCCCAGUAGUC